rnacentral:rRNA from 1 species
CUUUCUUUGCUGGCGACCGGCGCACGGGUGAGUAACACGUAUCCAACCUGCCCUUUACUCGGGGAUAGCUUUCGAAAGAAAGAUUAAUACCCGAUAGCAUAAUGAUUCCGCAUGGUUUCAUUAUUAAAGGAUUCCGGUAAAGGAUGGGGAUGCGUUCCAUUAGGUUGUUGGUGAGGUAACGGCUCACCAAGCCUUCGAUGGAUAGGGGUUCUGAGAGGAAGGUCCCCCACAUUGGAACUGAGACACGGUCCAA